GUACUGUUGGGGAGUCCCACAACAGGACGAAACGGUCGUCCAGUGC
rnacentral:hammerhead_ribozyme from 1 species